rnacentral:lncRNA from 1 species
AUGGGAAUUUGGGGCGGGGAACCGGGAUCUGGGGCUGGAUCCAGGGAUUUGGGGCUGGAUUUUCGGGAUUUGGGGCUGGAAAACCGGGAGUGGCUGGGGCGCGGGGCAGGGAAAAGCUCCGGAUCCAUGGAUUUGGGGGCGGAUCCGCGGCCGCAGGGGGUGGGUCCCCGGCUGGAUCCCGGGAUUUUUUCGGGAAUCGGGGGCAGGAAAAUCGGGAAUGCGCUGACCUGGGCAGGCCGCGGCCGCCGCUCGGUGUCCGCAUGGGCCGCGGGGCCGGGAAUUCCCGAUCCCGGCGGGAAGCUCGGGAUCCCGGGAUCCUCCCGGGGCUCUCCCGGCUCCGGGGCUGAUCCCGAAAUUCCCAAAUCCCGGCGGGAAGCGCCGGGCCCGGCCCGGAGCCGCUUCCAGCGGAGCGAGGGAUGCCGGGAUUUGGGAAUCAUCGGCCGCUCCCUCCUCCCCUUCCUCCUCCUCCUCCUCCUCCUUUUCCUUUUCCUCCGUUUCCUUUUCCUCCUUUUCCUUUUUCCCCUUUUCCUCCUUUUCCUUUUUCCCCUUUUCCUCUUUUUCCUUCUUUUCCUUCUUUUCCCCCUUUUCCUUUUCCUCCUUUUCCCCCUUUUCCUCCUCCUCCUUUUUAUUUCUCCCGCUCUUCCUCCCCCUCCUCUUCCCUCCAUUCCCACUCCCAGGAAUUCGGGAUUUCUCCCGGAAUUCCCGCGCAAAGCGGAUUUUUCCUGGAAAUUCCCGGCGAAAUUCCUUCUAAAUAAAUCUCCCCCCAAACCUCGGGAUUUGAAGCGCCCCGAGCGGGGAUUCCUGAUUUUUUUUUUUUCCCCCCCAAAAAAUCCCUUUCAUUCGGCCCCAAAAUUCCCAUUCUUUUCCCAAAAUUCCCAUUUAAUCGGCCCCAAAAUUCCCUUUCGUUGCGCCCUAAAAUUCCAUUUAUUUGCCAAAAAUAAAACCCCCUUCCUCUUCCCGCAGUUUUCCCUUUCUUUGGAACCCUCCCGUCCCAGUUUUUGGCAGGGAAAACCUUUCCCGGAUUAUUUCUGGGAAGCGGCAAAAGCGGCUGCUGGAAUUAGAGGGAAUUUUCCCGGGUUGUUUUGGGAAUUAAAGUGA